rnacentral:rRNA from 1 species
GAUGAACGCUGGCGGCGUGCCUAAUACAUGCAAGUCGAGCGAACAGAUGAGGAGCUUGCUCCUCUGACGUUAGCGGCGGACGGGUGAGUAACACGUGGAUAACCUACCUAUAAGACUGGGAUAACUUCGGGAAACCGGAGCUAAUACCGGAUAAUAUAUUGAACCGCAUGGUUCAAUAGUGAAAGACGGUUUUGCUGUUACUUAUAGAUGGAUCCGCGCCGCAUUAGCUAGUUGGUAAGGUAACGGCUUACCAAGGCAACGAUGCGUAGCCGACCUGAGAGGGUGAUCGGCCACGCUGGAACUGAGACACGGUCCAGACUCCUACGGGAGGCAGCAGUAGGGAAUCUUCCGCAAUGGGCGAAAGCCUGACGGAGCAACGCCGCGUGAGUGAUGAAGGUCUUCGGAUCGUAAAACUCUGUUAUUAGGGAAGAACAAAUGUGUAAGUAACUAUGCACGUCUUGACGGUACCUAAUCAGAAAGCCACGGCUAACUACGUG